GGAGAAGGAAGUGAAGAAGAGUUUUAUAGAAAGUAUUUGCUCAUCAAGUGUAGUAAUGUAAAUUAAUUUUAUUAAUAAGUGGAUAUGUAUUAUGCAUAUAAAUAGUACUAAAAUUUUCGAUCAGAAAUAUUGAUCUUGUUGUAGAUACUAUAAAGAAUUUUGUGUCAAAAUUUCAUCUGAUUUGAAUACUUCUACACCGUUAAACUUGGAAACGGCAGAUAUCAACCAUUUAAAAUUAUUGAUUUUGAAUCCUUUCGAUUGCUAGGUAAAUGAUAUCGAAAAAUCGCAAAAAUUAUUUUCUAGAAACUUCGGAUACGCUAUAUCAAGUCUAACGGAGCCGAUCGUCGAUUCAGAAAUUUCAUCAUUAAAAACAGCUCAGGAGCACGGAGGCCUCCGUGAUCCUGAGUCUCUCUCUCUCUCUCUCUCUCUCUCUCUCUCUCUCUCAUAUAUAUAUAUAUAUAGUUGAGCUGGAAUGCUAUCAGUAGCAAACGGACUCUGUUACCACCUAUUUGUUUUCGAUGAUGGAGCCCUCAAAUCGAUGAUCGGCACCGUUGAACAUGAUCUAUAUCACUUGAAGUAUCUAGAAAUUAAAUUUCAAAUAUUUUCGAUAUAUUGACCUAAUGAUCAUAGGGUUUCAAAAUUUAUAAUUUUAAUGGUCGAUGUGAGAUGUUUUCUCAUUUAACGGUGUAAAGCUAUCCAAAUCAAUUGAAUUUUGGUUAGAAAAUUUUUUAAACUAUUUAGAACAAGAUCUACACUCUCGAUCUUGAUUACAAAAUUCCUAUCAUCACUUUUUAGAGGAUAUUCAUUUUCAGCCGUUCAUUUUACGCCCACUUGAUGAACCAGAGAACAAUAUCGAAAAAAUAUGAAAUUUGAUUUCUAGAUACUUCAAGUGGUAUAGAUGAUUUUCAACGGUACCGAUCGUCGAUUUGGAGGCUCCAUCAUCGAAAACUAACUAGGCUACUAUGCUGUUAAUAGCACCAAGUUAUUGAUGCUACCAAGUUUUUGGCCAUUGGAUUAAGAGAUGUGCGGCUAGGAUGAUGUGGGCCUCUAGGGUUGAGUGGGUGGUUGGUUGAAUAAUAUGAUCUAACGGGUGAAAAUGAUCAAAAUGGUAGAUCUAACGGCGGAAAACUUGGUAGCACCAAGUGCUUCGUGCUAUUAAUAGCAUAGUAGCAGGACUAUAUAU
rnacentral:lncRNA from 1 species